rnacentral:rRNA from 1 species
UACGGGGGGGGCAAGCGUUGUUCGGAAUUACUGGGCGUAAAGGGCUCGUAGGCGGCCAACUAAGUCAGACGUGAAAUCCCUCGGCUUAACCGGGGAACUGCGCCUGAUACUGGAUGGCUUGAGAUUGGGAGAGGGAUGCGGAAUUCCAGGUGUAGCGGUGAAAUGCGUAGAUAUCAGGAGGAACACCGGUGGCGAAGGCGGCUAUCUGGACAGAGUCUGACGCUGAGGCGCGAAAGCUAGGGGAGCAAACAGG